rnacentral:rRNA from 1 species
GACGAACGCUGGCGGCGUGCCUAAUACAUGCAAGUAGAACGCUGAAGGAGUAGCUUGCUCUUCUGGAUGAGUUGCGAACGGGUGAGUAACGCGUAGGUAACCUGCCUGGUAGCUGGGGAUAACUAUUGGAAACGAUAGCUAAUACCGCAUAAAAUUCAUUAUUGCAUUGUAGUCAAUUAAAAUUUGCACUUUGAUCGCUACCAUAUGGACCUGCGUUGUAUUAUCUAGUUGGUGAGGUAAAGGCUCAACAAGGCAACGCUACAUAUGCGGGCCGAGGAGGGGGUUCGCCCACACGGGAACGGGAAAACGCCCAGGAUUCUACGGGGGGGCGGAGGAGGGAAAUAUCGGCAAUUGGGGGAAGUCUGGCCGAACCACGACGGGUGAGGGAAGAAGGGUUUCGGAGCGGUAAGGUCCGUUGUAAGGGAAGAAAGAGUGUGAGAGUGGAAAGUUCACGCUGUGACGGUACCUAAACAGAAAGCGACGGCUAACUACGUG